UGGCCAGCGGUGUGUCCGUCUUGGAGCCGGCUGGCAUUGGCUUUAUCAGACACAGGGGAAGCUUCUAGCAGCUUCUCACAGAAGCCACCCCUGUGCCCCCCCCGCUACCAAAACCUUGCCACACAAACCCAACACAUGGGGGCAUGUGAUGGCCCAGCAGAGGAUGAAAUACCAAUACUGUAAACAAAGAUCGGUGACUUGACUCUCUCUUCCCAAACCUAUUUCCCUCCUUUUAUAAAUAACUUUGGUGCACAGAAUGCAAAUUUAGGUCAUGGCAUUAUUGCUUCCUCUUUGUAGAGGAGGUUGUUCAUUUGAGUUGCUGCUUUCGAGUUCCACCUGAAGCUACAAAGCAUUGCGAUCGUCAGCUGUUUCAUGUUCACGCACUGACGUUUAAAGUGCCAGUGCUGGGAGCACGGGGUGAAGGUCAGCACAAAAAGAAGCCAUUUUAUGGAAACAGAAAUGCUUGGUAUUGGUAGGACAUUGUGCCUGUGGAGUAACAUGCAAUUGUAAGAAAGGUCGUCAUGGAAAACCAGGAUUCUAAGUUCUGAUCUCAGCUUGAUCUUGACUUGCUGGGUGAUAUUAGGGGUUGCUUCCCAGAUCCUCUUAAUUUGAUUUGAGAAGUUAGGAUUACCUGUAGCCAUCAGGUAAAACAGCAGUCUUGACUGGACAAAAAUGACAGCCACCUGCUUAGAAGGGAUAACAAGCCUCAUUCUGAUCUUCUGAGUUUAGCUCCACUGAUUUCAUGCUUUCCACUGGUGCAAAUCAGAUCCAUGCUGAUGUCUCUGAUGCCGCCCAGAGAAUCCCGAGGGUCCCGUUUGGUCGCUCGGUGGGAGAAAGCUUGCAAGGUCACCUCUGUUUGGAAGCAGCUUCCUUGGCCUCCAGCCCUCCCCUCAACAGCUGGCUUUCAAAUGGCAAGAGAAGGUUUUGUUGAUACGACCCAGGGGAAAGGCCCGCUUAGCGUACGAAGGCUCUGCAGAGUCCUUGUGGUCGGGCAGUGAUGAGAAAAGCUGUUCCUUUGCAGGGAAGGCUUUAUGUUUGUCUCUGUGCAUGUCUGUUCUCCCAUUAUCACUGACUUCAGUGCCGUGUUUACUUUUGCCUGCUUUGAGAUAGGUGCGCUGUAUAGGCACUUUUGUACUAGGGUAGGGUGUGAUCCUGCUCUGUUGGAGUCUGAGAGUUGGAAGUAGAUAGUUUACCAAUUGGGGUCCCUGAGGGGGCGAGGUGUGGGUCUACCACUGCUUGUGCUAUGCUAAGUAGUGAUCACACACCAACUUUUAGGCAACCUUACUAGCAAGGUCUAAAGUAAUCCUAUUUCUGAGGCUUAAAGAGUUACUGCUAUAGAGCUGAGUCACUGUAACCUGCUUGGUGCUCACUUACAGCUUUCCCUCACUGCCAAAAAUGCUUUAGCACAGACUAUCUUUAAGCUAAGCCUUUCUUAUUCACAGUCAUGAGCGAGGGCUGGGUAUGAUCAUCACACAGGUGAUAAGCAGUAACACAUGAAGCCAUAGUGACUUGAUUGCCUUGAUAACCAAGGAACUCUUUUCUAUUUUAAAUAAAUAAUAGAUACUUUUUUUUUCAUGGAAAGACUUAGUGUUCAGCAGAAAAAGAAUGGUAAAAUUUAGUGGGUAAUGUAUUUAGUGGGUCAGGGAAAUUUCUUUCGGUGUUUUCAGGUGUUUGUAGUGUUUAGGUUAAUCAGUAAAUCCAGUAAAAAUCCUUCUUUGUCCCAUAGGUAAUGUUCCAUAUUAAACUUGAGACCUUUGGGAGGAGGAAAGAAGUGCAAAGUGUUUGAACAAGGGAGGUGGACUGCAGGAAGCAGAAGAAAAAGGCCAGGACCCAUGGGGCUGUUACAGCCGCCCACACAGCAGUGUUGAUCUCUCUUUGAGUUGUGAUUAUAAGCCAGGAUCUGACUACUUCCAGGACAAAAGUAUUAAAAUACAAGAGCAUCAAUUAGAAAAUCUUAGCAAUUAGUUGGUAGAGGGAAAUGGCGAGGAAAAGGAGAAGGAAGGAUGAGAUGCCAGUGUGGAUGAAAUGUCAGUGAAAGAGGCCAGGGGAUGUUCCAGAGAAGCAACAUGCAGAGGUGAGUUGGUGUUUGAACGUGCAGGGAAUGAGACAAGGAGGGAACAGAGCAGUUUGGUUCCAUGAUGUACAGUUAUGGGAUGAACAACUGUUAAAGGGAACUUACAAAGGCAUUUGGAAAAUCAGUGCUACGUGUAGGCUAGGUUUUGAAGUGUGGAUUGAAACGAUGAUAUAAAAAUUUUAUUUUCUUUAAAAAUGAAGAAAUUAAUUUUAAUGGUAUUUUUGAGGACAAAGUGAAAAGUCACAAGUUUGGAAAUGACAAAUGCUUGCCAGAGCUAUAAGCAUGACCUUUGCUGGUUGUGAUCUAGUACUCAGAGUAUUUACAUGACCACACAUUCUUUUUCAGUUAGAAUAAUAUACUUGUGAGUAACAUACCACUUCUGCACCGUGCUACAGUGUGCGUGGAUAUAUCUUCAGAUGAUUGAGGAAAAAAAAGCUGAAUGUUACCAAGGUAUAAAGGGAAAUUAAUUCAGAUAUUUAGUAUCUAGAUGUUACUUUUCUAUUUCACAGCAUGGUAGCAUAAGUGCGGCAGAUUUUUCUUGGAAAAUUAGGAUGCAUUCCAGCAGAAACUGAUGCAGAGACUCAGCUUUUUUCUAAAAAAUAGCUUGCACUUUUCCCCAUAGCUAAGUAUUUAGAGCUUGCAGGAUCAGGGCCUAACAAGCCAUACAUCCUUCUUACUUUUUUUUUUUCUUCCAGGAAAGCAAAACUCUCCAUGUCUCCAUGUUAAAAUGAUUGGAAAUUAAACUUAGGGGGAUCUAGCAUGUGAUUACUUUUUUUAGACAGGAUUUUCUUCGUAGCUGAAUUGGACUGAAUCUUUUUUUUUUUCUCCUAAACCAGAUGGAGAAGGUGGAGGCGUACCUGUGCAACAUGGGGAAAUACCGGUGCAUGCUGAAACUUUCCCUAAAGUGCUCUGAUUAGAAGAUGCAAAUGUGAUGCUUUAAAAAAGUUAUUGUUUCAAAAAUGUCAGAGGAAUUGCAACUGAGCAUUUCUCCUGUUGCCACCUGUGCUUUGGGAUAGGAAAGAAUAACAUUAGCACACAGAGACCUUGACUUCCUCUUGGAUGCAUCUGGACGAUUUUAUUAGGCAGUCCACUGUGCCUGUGAUCAGUCUGAGAGCAGCUGAUGAUGAGCAUCGCCAAGAUGUGGUACUGGGCUGUUGAUCAAUUUUGUGUCUCUCAGAAGACUUGAAAAAUUAGAUUCAUGAAACAUCACUCUCAUAAGCCACAGCCUCACUAUGAGGACAUUAGGGCAGCCACAACUGUACAAAGUGUCUUCACCGGCAAUCUUUCACCCUCUGACAAGUCUUUUCUUCUUGAAGGUAACUGUGGGUGGUCUUCCUUUGUCUAAUUUCUGUAAAUUCGGUACAUCACUUUCUAGUUAUGCAGCUGAUACUCGUGUUUAUAUGAAUGGCUAUUUAAAAAAGGAAAGAUCAGAUGUUUGUUGUUUCAUUUCAACAUAAAUCAAACUUUGUAGUCGCAUAGCGAUUCUAGUCUAGCCCCAGGAAUAGCUUUAGUAUUGCUAAGUGUCUGGAGAGUAUUGACUACAGAGACAUGAUUUUAAGCAGGCUAUAAUAGUUUCUACAGCUGUUAACAGUUCUCAGAAGAAAGGCAGUAUUAUUCAUCGGUGUUUAAAAUGUGCAUGACUUGCAUUGCACAGAAGUCAGAUUGGGAGAAUGUCAGAAUUUUUUUUUCUGAAAUUCUGCCAGGAAAGUCUUCAAUAACUGGAGAAAUUCUUUUCACUGGUGAAAUCAACAUGCAGCACAUUGUGUUAUUAUAAUUGCUUAUAGCUCACCAUGAAAGUUGUCUUUGUAUGCGUGGAUGUACGGCUUGUACUGUUUUGUUUUUAUUUAUUCUGCAUUCUUUAUUAUAAUGUUCUUUCCUUUUUUCCAGACCAGAAAGAUUGUUAUUGAGCCUUCCACAAAGCUGAAAUAAUGCUGUGUGUUAAAAAAAUGUUAACAAUUUGAAGAAGUUAUAAAAAUUUAUAAGUUGACUGAAUACUUUGGAAAUUUCUGCAUAUUUUAAUAUAAAUAGCCUCACUGCGGCUCCCAGGGAAACAGCACAGGCCUUGUGUGGUUCAAGCUGCUCACCUGAGCCUGCUAAAGACCAAACUGCCCAGCCUGAGGAUCCUGAUGAAGCUGUGACCAUACUAGCUGCUGCUUCUGUCUCUUUGCUGAAGGCCUCUGGCCUCCCAUUGGGCUGCAUGUAAAAGCAUCUUUCAGCCAAGAAAGUAAGUACUGAUUUAAUUGAGUGCAUGGAUUUGCAACCAGCAGUUCAGCAGCUGCUUCAUGAGCCAUCCUUGCAGGAGGGGAAUCUUGGAGAGAUGGAUUCCUUUAACUAGAAAGAUAUGACAGGUUGUAAUAUCGGACUGCAGUGAAGUCCCACCUGCGCUAUUCUACCCUUCACGAGUGAGCAGUGCUGGGGCUGUGCAGCUGUCAUGCACGUGCUCCUUUUGGCGCAGAGUGAAAAUUAUGUACUGGAAAAUGGAGCCCCGUGUCUGGAGAAAACAGCUAUGACUGUGCCUAUAUAAUACCGGAGGUCUGCGGAAGUUGGGCUUGACUGCUUUUGCAGAGGUCUCUGAAGCCUUGAGCUCCGUGUGCUGUGGAGUGGAGAGAGGGAGAAAGAGCAAUGGGAUGUGUCCUCAGUAGUUUUUAUCUAUUAGCACCUGCAUGAUAAUGCCACUCUGAGUGAAUUGUACCAGGAAUGACUUGUGAAACCCAGAAAUUUCAUCUCUACGGACAGCAGAAAAGCCCAUGCUGUGUGGGCAGCGCCAGAGGUCACAAUGGCUACAGCCGGAUCCCAAAAGCGUGGUGGAAGAGAGGAACAGGAUGUUCUGGUAGCUACUGACAUGUGUAUGUCUUCAAGCAAAGGAGCUGGUGGAUGCUGGGUGUCUGGCUCUGAAAAGGCAGUAGCAUCUUUGAAGAACAUAGAUAUUUUUGCUCUCUUCCCUUAACUGUUCUUCAGGGUUCUGGGAUUUUUUUAACUACACAGAGGACUACACAUGUGCUGAAAGAGUUUGGUCCGGUUCAUUAGAGCCAGAUGUAAAAAUGCUGCUUCCAGCUAGCUCCAUCCCCUGCAAACUGCCUUCUGUGAGCACCUUUUCUCCCUGCUGCCCUCUCCGGCGAGCCCUCUGAUCUCUGCCCAGCAGGAAGCCUGGAGAACACUUACCCAUUCAUAACAGAAACUAUUGAAGAUGCACAGACCUGAAAGGUCACUAUAAGUUUCUAUUGCUCUUCUGGUGUGACUGGUAUAGAUCGUGCCUUCUAGCAAACUUUAAGGAAGCAAGCUUUUGUUACAAGGAGAGAUGGUUGGAUUCUCUUCUUGAUGAGACCCCUGCACCUUCACCUAGAUUCCUCCCCGGGCAGCUGCGGUGAACGGAUCUGACCACCGAGGGAAUCUGGCCCACUGAAUUCCUUUCUUUUCUGUGCAAUUGAAUGAAAAGUGUGUGUCUUUUGAAGAACAGUGACUGAAAGAAAUAUUGAUGACUGCCAGGGCAUCUACAGAAAGGGAUAAGAAAAUUACUCUACUACAACAAGGAAGACAAAGGAGCUUUGUUAACUCUCUCUUGUAGGUUGUAUAUAUUAAUAGUAACAACUAAAGUUUUGUAUUUUUUCAGAGAAACACACAAGGCUUUGAAUUGUAUUGUUUUAAUUGCAGCUAACUGAAUGAAUUAAGUGGAAAAUCGCACACAGUACUUUGAUUGUCUAACUCUCUGUAUGUGAGGCUUUGGGAACAGUUUGUUAUUAUAAAAGAACAGCACUAACAAGAAAUCAGCCAACAUAUAAUUGCUAGGCUGAGGGGCAGUUUGGGGAAAGCUGAUAUUUAUUUAUAAAUUAUUAAAUAAAAGCACAUAAUAUGUGGAUCAUUUCUCACUGCCUCCACACUUCAUACAUUACUCAUCUUCCUAAAUUUCAUGUUCUCCAGGACAUUGCUGCUUAUAACCAGUGCAGGCAUCAAAACCACCCACGUCCAGGAAAGGAGAUGCCUGUGCAUUUGUUACGAUGG